rnacentral:rRNA from 1 species
UAUAACAGCUAUAAUUUACUUGAUCUUGACACAAUCCUACUUGGAUAACUGUGGUAAUUCUAGAGCUAAUACAUGCAUUAAAGCUCUGACCUCACGGGAAGAGUGCAUUUAUUAGAACAAAACCAAGCGGCUUCGGCUGUUUCUGGUUGACUCAUAGUAACUGAGCUGAUCGCAUGGUCUUGCACCGGCGACGUGUCUUUCAAGUAUCUGCCGUAUCAACUUUCGAUGGUAGUGUAUCUGACUACCAUGGUGAUCACGCGUAACGGAGAAUAAGGGUUCGGCUCCGGAGAGUUCGCCUGAGAAAUCGCGAACACAUCUAAGGAAGGCAGCAGGCGCGAAAAUUACCCACUCUCAGCACGAGGAGGUAGUGACGAAAAAUAACGAGACCGUUCUCUUAUGAGGCCGGUCAUCGGAAUGGGUACAAUUUAAACCCUUUAACGAGUAUCUAUGAGAGGGCAAGUCUGGUGCCAGCAGCCGCGGUAAUUCCAGCUCUCAAAGUGCAUAGAAUUAUUGCUGCGGUUAAAAAGCUCGUAGUUGGAUCUGUGCCAUAGGACGUGGUCCACCUUCGGGUGCGUACUACGCUCCUAGGCUUUUUGCUGGUUUUCCCGUCGUAGCCUUCACUGGUUGCGGCGGGUGGCUGGCGAGUUUACUUUGAGAAAAUCAGAGUGCUCAAUACAGGCGUAUCGCUUGAAUGAUUGUGCAUGGAAUAAUAGAAAAGGAUUUCGGUCCUCUUUUAUUGGUUUUGUGGACUGAGAUAAUGGUUAACAGGGACAAACGGGGGCAUUCGUAUCUCUGCGUGAGAGGUGAAAUUCUUGGACCGUAGAGAGACGCCCUACUGCGAAAGCAUUUGCCAAG